rnacentral:misc_RNA from 1 species
UGGCUCUCGCAUCGAUGAUGAACGCAGCGAAAUGCGAUAAGUAAUGUGAAUUGCAGAAUUCAGUGAAUCAUCGAAUCUUUGAACGCACCUUGCGCUCCUCGGCAUUCCGAGGAGCAUGCCUGUUUGAGUGUCAUGGAAACCCUCAACCCUGUCAUCUUUGCGGAUGUAAGCAGGGCUUGGAUCCUGGAGGUUUUUUUUUGCUGGAUGCUUCCGGGCGUCCGGCUCCUCUUGAAUGCAUUAGCUUGGACAGACCGGCUAGGGUCGACGUGAUAAACAUCACCGUUGACCGGAAGGCCCCGUCACGCGUCGAGCUUCCAAUCGUCUUCGGACAAAAGUGUCUCUGACCUCUGACCUCAAAUCAGGUAGGACUACCCGCUGA